rnacentral:rRNA from 1 species
CAGGACGACGCUGGCGGCGUGCCUAAUACAUGCAAGUCGAACGGUCUUUCUAUGGAAGCUUGCUUCCACUGAGAAGAUAGUGGCGAACGGGUGAGUAACACGCGGGUAACCUGCCCAUAAGAGGGGGGAUAACAUCCGGAAACGGGUGCUAAUACCGCAUAGUUUUCUUGAUCGCAUGAUCGGGAAAGGAAAGACGGCCUUUGUGCUGUCGCUUAUGGAUGGACCCGCGGCGUAUUAGUUAGUUGGUGAGGUAACGGCUCACCAAGACGAUGAUACGUAGCCGACCUGAGAGGGUGAUCGGCCACAUUGGGACUGAGACACGGCCCAAACUCCUACGGGAGGCAGCAGUAGGGAAUCUUCCGCAAUGGACGAAAGUCUGACGGAGCAACGCCGCGUGAGUGAAGAAAAGGUUUUCGGAUCGUAAAACUCUGUUGUCAGAGAAGAACAAGUUGGAGAGUAACUGCUCCAGCCUUGACGGUAUCUGACCAGAAAGCCACGGCUAACUACGUGCCAGCAGCGGC